rnacentral:rRNA from 1 species
CGAGGCCCACGCUUCGGGUUGGUGCCCUACCGGCGAACGGGUGAGUAACACGUGGGCAACCUGCCCUCAGCUCUGGGAUAACUCCAAGAAAUUGGUGCUCAUACCGGAUGUGACCGCUGACCGCAUGGUCUGGUGGUGGAAAGAUUCAUCGGCUGAGGAUGGGCCCGCGGCCUAUCAGCUUGUUGGUGGGGUAGUGGCCCACCAAGGCGACGACGGGUAGCCGGCCUGAGAGGGUGACCGGCCACACUGGGACUGAGACACGGCCCAGACUCCUACGGGAGGCAGCAGUGGGGAAUAUUGCGCAAUGGGCGAAAGCCUGACGCAGCGACGCCGCGUGAGGGAUGACGGCCUUCGGGUUGUAAACCUCUUUCAGUAGGGACGAAGCGAGAGUGACGGUACCUACAGAAGAAGCACCGGCCAACUACGUGCCAGCAGCCGCGGUAAUACGUAGGGUGCAAGCGUUGUCCGGAAUUAUUGGGCGUAAAGAGCUCGUAGGCGGUCUGUCGCGUCGGCUGUGAAAACCCGAGGCUCAACCUCGGGCCUGCAGUCGAUACGGGCAAACUAGAGUACUGCAGGGGAGACUGGAAUUCCUGGUGUAGCGGUGAAAUGCGCAGAUAUCAGGAGGAACACCGGUGGCGAAGGCGGGUCUCUGGGCAGUAACUGACGCUGAGGAGCGAAAGCGUGGGGAGCGAACAGGAUUAGAUACCCUGGUUAUCCACGCCGUAAACGUUGGGCGCUAGGUGUGGGGGCAUUCCACGGUCUCCGUGCCGCAGCUAACGCAUUAAGCGCCCCGCCUGGGAGUACGGCCGCAAGGCUAAAACUCAAAGGAAUUGACGGGGGCCCGCACAAGCGGCGGAGCAUGUUGCUUAAUUCGAUGCAACGCGAAGAACCUUACCUAGGCUUGACAUGCACGGAAAUCUCGUAUAGAUACGGGGUGCCUUUGGCGUCGUGCACAGGUGGUGCAUGGUUGUCGUCAGCUCGUGUCGUGAGAUGUUGGGUUAAGUCCCGCAACGAGCGCAACCCUCGUUCUAUGUUGCCAGCACGUGAUGGUGGGGACUCAUAGGAGACUGCCGGGGUCAACUCGGAGGAAGGUGGGGAUGACGUCAAAUCAUCAUGCCCCUUAUGUCUAGGGCUGCAAACAUGCUACAAUGGCCGGUACAAAGGGCUGCGAUACCGCGAGGUGGAGCGAAUCCCAAAAAGCCGGUCUCAGUUCGGAUUGGGGUCUGCAACUCGACCCCAUGAAGUUGGAGUCGCUAGUAAUCGCAGAUCAGCAGAUCAGCAACGCUGCGGUGAAUACGUUCCCGGGCCUUGUACACACCGCCCGUCACGUCACGAAAG